UAGCACUUUUCUAUGUAUGGGAAGAUGCAAGAGUCUGGGCUCAUUGAAAUUUUUCCUUUGAGAUGCAUCUCAGCUAUCUAGGGCCAGUAUCCUGUUUUUCUCCAUCCUGCAUUCCCCCAGGGCGCACCGUUGCGGGGAGGCUGCAGUGGCUGCCAGCUGGAAGGCGAGGAGCAUUCAUUGUUUGCUGGAAUGGCAGGCAACACUCCCCUCCCACAACCCAGACGCGGGAAGGCUUCUAUCUUUCUACAAAGUCCUCUUCAAGGUCUCCUUCAGUGUGCCAGGGGUCCCUGGGAUUCUUCUAGCAAACCUCAAGGUCAGUGCUGUGUUUCUCAGCCGCUCCCCACACCGCUCUAGCCUGAGGGCCCUGGCUUCCCCACCCCCAGCCGCCCCCCAGGAAGCAGAACAGCCAGUCCUCAGCCCAGGCCCACUCCUGCAGCAUGUUGACAGCUGGUCUUGUGUUAGAGCACGGACCUCUUUCUGUGUCCCUCUGCUGCCCUCUGCUUGUCUUUGAAGGAGAAAGGAAAAGAGAGGAGGAUGGGGAAAAUGGAUGACAGCGCUCCAGGAUAGCCUGCGUGGAAGGGAAGCAGAUUACCACGCCCGGCCGGAGACCCCUGCCUUGGUGCCAAGACCCGUGCCCCAGGCCCCCAGGGCCCAUCCCAUUCACCUGCUUCUCCAAAGUCCUGCUCCACAUCCCGCCUGGCAGCCUGGAGGGCAGAUGGUGCAGCAAGGUGGGCUAAGUGUCCUUGCUCGUGGGCCUCCAGGCAACCCUCUGGCUCUGUGCCCAGAGAUCAAAGGGCAGGAGUAGGAGGGCCACGGACUGAGGACGGCUGGUGCUGACAGAGGUAGGUGGUGCACGUGCCAGGACUCUGACAUCAAACUGGAAAGUAAAAGCUUAAGAUAUGUCUUAGCCAGCUCAGGCCGCCAUUAUAUAGUACUAUAGACAGGGUGGCCUAAACCACAGAAAUGUAUUUUCUCACAAUUCCGGAGGCCAGAAGUCCAAGAUCAGAGUGCCAGCAUGGUCAGGUUCCGGUGGCAGCUCUCUUCCUGGCUUGAAGAUGGCCACCUUCUUGCCAUGUGCUCACAUGGUAGAAAGAAAGAACGUGGUUUCUGGUGUCUUCUUAUAAGGACACUAAUGCCAUCAUGAGGUCCCCACCCUCAUGACUUCAUCUAACCCUAGAUAAGCCGCCCAAAGCCACUCCUAAUACCAUCACAUUGAGGGGUUAGGGCUUUUAACACAUGAAUUUGCGGGGUGGGCACAAACAUUCAAUCCAUAACGAGGUGUAUAUGUGUAAGGGAUUACUUUGUAAUGACAUAGGAAAAGCCACCCAUCCCAAACUACUGGGGGGAACGUUAUUUCUAGGGUGUGAGGCCCCUGAUCUAUUUAGGGUGUGUCUCUGGAGUGUGAGAUCUCUGAUCUGUUUGGGACUGAGCUCUGGAGUCCUCCCCCUUCCCAACCUCUCUCUCACCCCAUCCUCACCCUCCAUUGCUGAGAGUCAGGGAACAAUCAUCAGCCCUAUUGCUGUUUGCCUUACCUUGAACUUAGCACCUCUCUCUCUUGUGGGUUACCUCUCUAGCCCCUGGGGCAUAUGAGUUUCAGAUUCUUAUUCCUAGGCACACCCCAGAUCCCUAACAGACACACAAAUGCUCUGUGCUAUGCAUAUUAUUUUUAUCUUACGAUUUUCCUUUAUAAAGAGUUACACGAAUACAUGAAAUGGGUUUGUAUUAAAAGUUCCAACAAAACAUCAAAUAUAUGGACUAUACAGGUCAUCCCCACCUCCACUCUCCAAAAAUGAUCACUGAGGUCAGUUUCUGGUGUUUCCUUCAAACACAUACACACACACACACACACGCAUAAACACACACACACACACAGAGUCACUAAAACCAUCUCCCACCUGCUUUUCCCUGUUAACAGCAUGUCCUGUGGAAGGCACUCCCACCCCAUAGGAACACACAGGUCCCACGCAUUCUGUAUCACGUCAGGUGGGUACUCUGUGGUAUAACAUAAACUCCCCAACUUUCAUUUCACUCUGCAGCAGUCAUUGUCUAGAAAUGGACAUUUAUAAGGUUUUCCCAGUCAUUUGCUCCUACCUGCCUGGUGCACACAGCUGUGUGUGUGUGUGUGUGUGUGCGAGUUAGAAGUGGAAUUGCUGGGUCAAAGGGUUCUUUCAUUCAGCAGACACCCAAUGAGUGAGGUCUGUGUGAUGAGCACUGUUCUAAGUGCUGGGAAGACAUCAGAGAACAAGACAGACAAACAUCCCUGCCCACAUGGAGCCAACAUUCCAGUUGGAGAGGAGGGUGUCCAAUUUUUAUUUAGAUGUUUCACAAGCCCUGGAAGCUUUCACUGUCAUCAGUGGUGUGGUCACUGGCUGCUUCUCCACUGCUGUCUGUGGGGCAGGGUCUGCAGCAGGAGGCUGGCUGCCUUGGCCUUUGCUCUCUACAAGAUCUGCAGGGGCUGGGGCUGGGAUGGUCUGUUUGGAGACGUGGAUGCGAGUAUGCCUGUGUGUGGUUGCGGAGGGGUGUGGAAACUGAAUGGUCUACUGGAGAGAGAGAGUGAGGGGAAACAGGCAGAGACCACUUCCUGGUGUUGGAGGGAGCUAGGGACAAAGUGAUCCCCAGAGGUGGCAUGAGCAGCCCCUCCCGGGCCACAUCCACAGAGAGUGGGCAGGAGCGGAGGCGCUGAGGUAUCUAGUGUCGUCUCAGAACAUACCAUUGUGUCAUUGUCAUGUGGACACUUUUGGGGCCACAUAGACAGGGGGUAUGGCCACCACAUGAGGUAGCCUACACUGGAGGUUGGACAGCCUUGGUUACUCAGACGGGGGUCUGGGCUUUCCAGAAGUCACACACACUGGGGAGUGGACACUCCUGGAAUCACACACGCUGGACGCUGCACACUCUUGGGAUCACACAAAGUAGAGUGUAGACACCUCUGGGGUCAGAUGGACAGGUGUGUUGACAUUGUUAUAGUUAAACAAACUAAGGUGUGGACGGUCCUGGGGUCAGGUUUGUAUGUGGACACUUCUGGGCUCACACACACUAGGAGGCGGGUACUUCUGAGUCACCCAGACUGGUUAGUGGAUAUUUGUAGGGUCACACACACACAUACACCCCAGAGGUCAGAUAGCCUGGGGUAUGAACACUGCUGAGGUCACACAGACUGUAGCGUGGAACCUCUUGGGAUCACUCAGACUGGGAUGUACACAUCUGGGAUCAGACAGCUUAAGGUGUGGGCAACUGUGAGGUCAUACAGGGUGGGUGUGGACAGAUGUGGGGUCAUGAAGAUGAGGGUUUGGACACUCCUGGAGUCACUCAGACUGGAGUGUGGACAGACCUGAGGUCACUCAGGCAGAGGUGCGAACACUCCAAGGUCUCCCAGUGCACAUACACUGGAGAGUAGACAGUCCUGAGGUCACACAGAGAGAGUUUGGAACACUCUUAAAGUUAAACACAUUGGGGAGUGGACACUUCUGAAACCACACACGGGUGGACUGGACACUCCUUGUGUCACACAGACUGGAGUGUGAACAUUCAUGGUGUCCCACAGAGGAGGGAAUACUCUUGGGGUUAUAGUGACUGAGGUGGGGACAGUCCUAUGGGCUGUGUUGUAGACACUCCUGCAAUCUUGGUGAAAGCGGUAUGGACAUUCUUGUGGUCAAAGAAGUGAUGAGCCGGCACUGCCGGGGCUGGAGAUUAAGGUGUGGACACUCCCUUGGUCACACAGAGUAAUUGAUGGAUGCUCCUCGGUAUAGACUUGGGAGCAGACACUGCUGAGGUCACAGGCUGUGGUGAGGGUGGUUCAAGGGUCAUAUACAUGGGUAUUUGGACACUCAUGGGCUCACACACAAUGGGGAGUCAACAGUCAUGGGGUCCCUCACAUGGGGAGUUGAACACUCAUGAUCACAUGGACUGGGAUGUGGACAUGCUGGUGUAACACAACUUGGGGAGUGGGCACACACUGGGAUGAGGGUCUCCCUGGCAUCACACACAGUAGUGUGCACAGUCCUGGUGUCACAGAAUGGGGAGAGGAUGCUCCUGGGGUCACACAGAUUGGGGAAAGGAUGAUGCUGAAGGUGUGCGUUUGGAGACCACUGAUUAAGAAGGGAAAGUUCAAAUACCACCGGUUCAAGUAAUUAAACAGGGAGGCCAUUAGGUUGAGGUGGCUCUGAUGCCUUGGUAGCCUACGUGAGCCAGAGUCAAAGCACCUGUAUCUGAGAAAUCAAAAUUUAAGAAGAACCAGUCACAAACAACCAACUGGGUUUUCCCAAAUAAGCACCCUCUUCCGCUCUAAACCAAUCAAAUAAGCUCGCUUUGCUUCUCCAUCUGCCCUAUAAAAGCCUUGCCCCAGCUCAUGGUGUGGAGGGCUUCUAAACCACUUCCCAGAGCUGCCCAAUUCCAGCGUUUGCUUAAAUAAACUCCUGAAACAUA